ensembl:lncRNA
UCAGCUCCCAGCACAGCGGACUGUACUACUGCACUGCUCACAACCAGCUGGGACAGCACACCUCUAGACCAACACACCUGGAUGUGAAGGGUGAUGAGGAGAGCUCAGCGAAGGUGUGGAAGCUGCAUGCUGUAUGGGGAGCUGCUGCACUCGUUCCUGCUCUGCUUCUCUCUCUUCUUACUGCCGUUCUGUGCAUUAAGAGGAAGAGAGGAGCAGAGAGAGACACAGACAUUCAGAGUGUUCCAAAGCCUGGAGAUGACACAUACACAGCACUGAACCCCAUGAAUACGUCCCCGGAUUAUGACACUCUGCAAAAUGUUAAAAGCUCUGCCAGUGACACUUACACAACCCUGAACCCUGCGACCGUGUCCUCUGAUUAUGACACGCUGACAGGUGUGGCUACUCGACUCAGUGAGGAGAAGUACUCCAGAACUGGUGAAUGAGAACUAACGGUUGACUUUGGUUAGUAACGGCUCAGGAAGGAUGCUCAGGCUUUUUCUCAUCAUCGCCUCUUCACUCGCUUGAUCUCUGUUCACGCUGACAUCAGUGGGGAAAUAAUCACUGAUUCAAUCCAUCAGCUCUGAUCUGUUGGUUAAAUUUCUUGUUACUGUCUUACAACUUUGUUC